rnacentral:rRNA from 1 species
UACGUAGGCAGCAAGCGUUGUUCGGAGUUACUGGGCGUAAAGGGUGUGUAGGCGGUUGUUUAAGUUUGGUAUGAAAUCUCCCGGCUCAACCGGGAGGGUGCGCCGAAUACUGAAUGACUAGAGUGUGGGAGAGGUGAGUGGAAUUCCUGGUGUAGCGGUGAAAUGCGUAGAUAUCAGGAGGAACACCUAUAGCGAAGGCAGCUUGCUGGGACGACACUGACGCUGAGGCGCGAAAGCGUGGGGAGCGAACAGG